rnacentral:rRNA from 1 species
UACGAAGGGGGCUAGCGUUGCUCGGAAUCACUGGGCGUAAAGCGCACGUUAGGCGGACUCUUAAGUCGGUGGUGAAAUCCUGGAGCUCAACUCCAGAACUGCCUUCGAUACUGGGAGUCUCGAGUUCGGGAGAGGUGAGUGGAACUGCGAAGUGUAGAGGUGAAAUUCGUAGAUAUUCGCAAGAACACCAGUGGCGAAGGCGGCUCACUGGCCCGAUACUGACGCUGAGGUGCGAAAGCGUGGGGAGCAAACAGGG